rnacentral:rRNA from 1 species
UACGUAGGGUGCGAGCGUUGUCCGGAAUUAUUGGGCGUAAAGAGCUCGUAGGCGGUCUGUCGCGUCGAUCGUGAAAACUUGGGGCUUAACCCUGAGCUUGCGGUCGAUACGGGCAUGACUGGAGUUCGGCAGGGGAGACUGGAAUUCCUGGUGUAGCGGUGAAAUGCGCAGAUAUCAGGAGGAACACCGGUGGCGAAGGCGGGUCUCUGGGCCGAUACUGACACUGAGAGACGAAAGCUAGGGGAGCAAAUGGG